GCGAAUGCUGACAUAAGUAACGAUAAAGCGGGUGAAAAGCCCGCUCGCCGGAAGACCAAGGGUUCCUGUCCAACGUUAAUCGGGGCAGGGUGAGUCGACCCCUAAGGCGAGGCCGAAAGGCGUAGUCGAUGGGAAACGGGUUAAUAUUCCCGUACUUGGUGUUACUGCGAAGGGGGGACGGAGAAGGCUAUGUUGGCCGGGCGACGGUUGUCCCGGUUUAAGCGUGUAGGUGUGUGUUCCAGGUAAAUCCGGUUCACUUUAACACUGAGGCGUGACGACGAGGCACUACGGUGCUGAAGCAACAAAUGCCCUGCUUCCAGGAAAAGCCUCUAAGCAUCAGGUAACAUCAAAUCGUACCCCAAACCGACACAGGUGGUCAGGUAGAGAAUACCAAGGCGCUUGAGAGAACUCGGGUGAAGGAACUAGGCAAAAUGGUGCCGUAACUUCGGGAGAAGGCACGCUGACAC
rnacentral:rRNA from 1 species